rnacentral:lncRNA from 1 species
UUCCCACACCUCCCUGGGCUUUGAACUCAGAAUCUGUGAAAAUCCCCCAAAGGCCAUUCGAGAUAAAAGGAACUGAAAAAGCCACCCGCUCCCAGUCCCUAUCCCAUCAAAGCAAAGAUGGGAAUUAGAUUCAAGAUUCAAGGCCAGCAGAUGGUGGGAGGUCCCCCUCCCUCCACCAGCCUCAUUCUCCACCAUCCCGUCUCCAGUCUGCUGGAAUUAGCUGGCCGGGAUCACUGCCUCGUGUUUUCAGGAGAAAAAGCAAACCUGACCAUUCAUCAGACAGGACAGUGGGAAAGCGCUCCCAGCAGCCACUCAGAACUUGGCCGCCUGCACCCCAUUGUUCACGCUCCGGCACUGCUUCCUUUGGUCAUGAACCAGCAGAAGUUGCUGAGGUCUGUUUCCCCCAUCAAAGUUCACAUGGCCUGGGUGAGUCAUACUGCGGCCACUUCCUUUUGGAUACACUCACCAAAUAUCCACAGUUUGACUCCCGACAGCCAAGAAAUUUCCAUCUGUUCAGAACAUACAAUUAAAAAUCCAUCCAAAGUGAAAGGAACUUAUGACUCAGCAGGGCCCCGAGAGUGACUCACUGGCAGGGAGUCGUCGGCCCGUGUUUCUGGCCGCUUGCAGAAGGCUGGGAGGGACAGCGCCUCCUGACAGGUGCUUCCCG